AAAAAAAAUUGAGAAGGUAACUACGGACUUCAUUGGUCUAUUGUUAAUACAUAAUGAGACGAUACAGUGAAAGAACUCUCCAAAUGACAAAGCACUAUCUCCAUCUAAGAAUAUCGCUUCUGUUGCAUCAUAGUGAAGUAGUUCCACAGGUGUUUCUGCUCGGACUGACUGGUUCAAAUCUCGGCUGUACUGCCAGGAUUUAAGACACUUUGAAAAUGGGCAAAGCCUCAUUUUUCCUAGGUCAAAAGGAGUUCAAGAUUGGGGAAAUCUGAGGAUUCAGAAGGAUGAUAAAUGUUAGAACAUGGAAUCAGGGUGCUUAGAUUCUUGGUGCCUCAAUUUCUCUGUCAGUUAAAUGCCGUAUGAUCAAAUGACUCUUUUCUCAUUGGCUUGAUGUGAGAAAGAAAUGACUACAUAUAAUAAUCAGCAACAUUCCUGGCACAUAGUAAACAUCGAUGUAUUAUUAUUAAUACCUCCACCUACGCUAUAUACUGACUCUCUAUCCUCCCUCUCUUCCUCCUUCCCUGGAUCUUAAAAGAUGAGUGUGAUUAGAAACAAAAUUUUGUUGUGAUAAAGUCCACCUGAAUGUUCCCUCAGAUACUAACUAAAUCUCUUUCACAUGCAACCUUUGGACAAAAGUCUCUUCCUUUUUGCUAGGAAUUUUCCUAUUUUUCUCAUUUCUUCUCCUCCUGCUUUAGGAAAGAAAAAAAAAGCAUAUGCAAGAAUUAUUUUUUCUUCUCCCCAGAUGUCACCAGCACUAACACCUGUCCUAGUUCCAGCUCUGGUGAACUCCAGCAGACCUGCUCAAGUGGACAGCAUUAGGGACCUUGUCAGUUUUGCAGUGCUUUUUGCCUGAAGCCACCUCAGGUCCCUCAUGCUGCAGAAUGUGAAGGAGCAAGUCUCUCAAUUGGCUAAUUGAAUCAAGCUCUGCAAUUUCCUUCUUCCCUGGAGCCUGAUCCUGCAGGACAAGGAUCUAUUUUCAAGUCAAUUACAAUUCCUAAGGGAUAUAAUUACCUACAAAAUCAGCAAAGGAACCCUAUUUCUCUUAUGGUGCAGAGCAAAACCAGUGUGGCUGGAAAGGAGAAAGAAGGAAAGGGGGCUUCAAGCAAGAUCAUGUGCAUUGUCAGACUUCAGAUCAUCCAAGGCCUUGUAAGAUUAGGGGACUUUUUUUUUUUUUUGCAUAAGUCAUAAAGAAAUCACUGUGGGGGAAUCAAACACUAAACAGGUAUGCAAGAUAAUUUCAGAUAAAGUAUAUGAAACAAAAAUGGGAUAGAGCAAGUUUAGAGGAGAUAAUGAUGAGGAAUGUCCUCUCUGAGGAGGUGACAUUUGAACGGAGACCUGAAUGGGACAAAAGGGCUAGUGGAGAAGAGAUCUGAAGAAAGAGCAUUUCAAGCAUUAGAGUAAAUAGGGCAAAAAUCAGGAAGCAGGACUGUGCUGUUUGUUUAAUACACAGAAAGAAAGAAAUGGUUAACUGGAAUUUGGACUCGGGACUUGAGUUCAAAUUCAAAGUUAUUUAUGCUGCCCCCAAAUGCGACUACCUAACUGAGCCUGCUGUUUGCUAAGGAUUAGGGGCUUUCUCUGUUUCACUAGAUGGUAAGUACCUGAGCAUAGGGACCAUGUCUUCCCACUUAUUUCUGCAAACUUAGUAUCUGGGCCCUGUCUAGUACCUGUUAGACUCUCAGUAAAUAUUCAUUGAAUGAAAACAUCUCUACAAUUACAAUACCCUGACUGUAUAUCUACUGUUAAAAUUCUAAGACUAGAAAAAAACAAUUUAAAUGUUGAAAUUCAGUCAGCCAAUUGGUAAUUUAAUAACCCAACUAAAAAAAAAAACCCAGAAGACAAAAUAGUCAAACCAUUUCUAAGAGUAGCUGCAGACUAAAUAACAAGAAAAGAAAAAAAUUAUCUAAAGCAACGCUUCUCAACGUCAGUGCUAUUAGCAUUUGGGGCUGAAUAAUUCUUGGUCAUGGGAGCUGUCCUGAGCAUUAUUUAGUGGCAUCGUUAGUCGCUACUCAAUAGUUACUGGUAGCAUUCCCCUCUUGCGACAACCCAAAAUGUCUGCAGACAUUGCCAGAUGGCCCUAUUGAGAACACUGGUAUGAAAGUAUUAAUGCCAUGCCACUUUCUAAAAUGUUGCAGAAGUUGUUGUGCCACCCAGUGGGUUUUCAGUUGAUUUGUGUGCAAAGUUUUACCAAGAGGUAUGAUAAAUAUGUCC
rnacentral:lncRNA from 1 species